CAGCCUCGCAGCUCAGACACGGGGCAGGCGCUUCUCCUCCUUGUGUUAACAGCAACACUGGGUGUGCAAAGCAAACUUCCAAUGCAGUGUGUGUUCAAGUGUCCCAUGUUUUCAUUCUAAAGAACAAAACCAAGACCGCUAAAACAACAGAAAUGACUGGUCCCACGAACAUCCUAUUAACUGUAGAACAUACAUGAAAUAAUGCACAUGCUCAUCUUGUAUCAGCUACAGACAAUGGGCAAUAAAGUCUGUCUUUAUUAGAAAAA
ensembl:processed_transcript 4930447N08Rik RIKEN cDNA 4930447N08 gene